rnacentral:rRNA from 1 species
GGCAUGCGCAUCUACCAUGCAGUCGUACGAGAACACCCUAGCUUGCUAGGGUAAGUAAAGUGGCGCACGGGUGAGUAACGCGUGGGUAAUCUACCUUCGAAUUGGGGAUAACGUUGCGAAAGCGACGCUAAUACCGAAUAAUAUCCAAUUAUCUUCGGAUUUUUGGAUCAAGGGUGGCCUCUACAUGUAAGCUACUGUUUGAAGAUGAGCCCGCGUACCAUUAGCUUGUUGGUGGGGUAAUGGCCUACCAAGGCGACGAUGGUUAGCUGGUCUGAUAGGAUGAUCAGCCACACUGGAACUGACACACGGUCCAGACUCCUACGGGAGGCAGCAGUGAGGAAUUUUGCGCAAUGGGCGAAAGCCUGACGCAGCAACGCCGCGUGAGUGAUGAAGGCCUUCGGGUCGUAAAGCUCUGUCAAGUGGGAAGAACCUAUGUAAUGCCAACACCAUUAUGUAUUGACGGUACCACUGAAGGAAGCACCGGCUAACUCCGUGCCAGCAGCCGCGGUAAUACGGGGGGUGCAAGCGUUAUUCGGAAUCAUUGGGCGUAAAGAGCACGUAGGCGGCUUGGUAAGUCAGAUGUGAAAGCCCGGGGCUUAACCCCGGAAGUGCAUUUGAUACUGUCAGGCUUGAGUAUGGGAGAGGGAAGUGGAAUUCCUGGUGUAGAGGUGAAAUUCGUAGAUAUCAGGAGGAACACCGGUGGCGAAGGCGACUUCCUGGACCAAUACUGACGCUGAGGUGCGAAGGCGUGGGUAGCAAACAGGAUUAGAUACCCUGGUAGUCCACGCAGUAAACGUUGAUCACUAGGUGUAGCGGGUAU